GAAAGUAACAAUUAUUGUAAUAACUUGCAUUUAUUGCCCUUUUAGCUGUGUGCCCUGUGUGAAUGCUUCACUGACACCAGCUCACUUAAUCCUCUCAUCAACCCUAAGGGCAAGAGCAUCCUGACUGAUGACCCUACCCACGCGGGAUGGCCGGAUGCAGCAUUACGUCCCACUGUGGGAAGAUCCUGGAGGACAGUGACGGAGGGAAAUCAUUCCAGCAGGCAGAACUUGAGCAGUUCACCAGGUCAUCUGUCCUGCCUGGAAGGAGAGAUGGCUAGAAGUGUGGGUUUACGUCCGUUCAUGGGCUGUGGCUAAUGGUUGUUUGGCUGGAUGGUCAGGGACUUAGAAGAACCGUGACUGGGAAAUUCGUGGCAAGGCGAUCUGGGGAACAUGUGGACAAAUAGAUUUCUCUGAAUGGAAAUAGGGUGUGAUCUCAGCACAGGAAGACUUUAAUAAUCAGGUAGAUAGAAUGAGUCAUUCCAUGGUUGUCAGUCAGCCUGCUUCCCCAGCCACUCCAGCCAUUGUCCAGUGUCAGUGGCGAAGGCUAUGCAUAGGUCAGCAACAUGGACUUCCACUCACCAAGGCUGAUCUGGCUGUAGCCAUGGCCGAGUGCCCAGUCUGCCAGCACCAGAGGCCGACACCCUGAUACAGCACUAUUCCCCAGUGUGGUCAGUUACCCGGUGACAGAUCCAUAACACUGGGCCCCUUCCACCAAGGAGGGGGCAGAGUAUUGUUCUUAUGAGAACACUUAUUCUCAUUAUGACUCCGCCCUUCCUGCCCACACUACUUUUGCCAAAACUACCAUCUGUGGACUUCCAGAGUGCCUUAGCCGCCGUCAAGGUAUUCCACACAGCAUCAGGUCUGACCAGAAACUCAUUUCACUGCAAAUGAAGUGAGACAAUUGGCUUGUACUCAUGGAACUCACUGGCCUUAGCAUAGUCCGCAUUACCCAGAAAGAGCUGGCUUGAUAGAAUUGUGGACUGGCUA